UUUUCUAUAUUAUUUGUUAUAAUAUUUGUUUGUACCAUACUUGACCAAUCCCGAAACUACUGAGCACCGGUCAACGUUAUACCGUCAAAGACCCAGAAGAGCUUCCCUUCAACCAGGAGGCUAAUCACAAUACGACACGUGUCGACAUCAGAAGCUAAUCACAGCGCGACACGUGUCAACAUCAGAAGCCAAUCACAAUACGACACGUGUCAAUGUUAGAACAAAACUAGAAACUCUCUUCUAUAAAUAGGGAUCAUUCUCCCACAAUAAUCU
rnacentral:lncRNA from 1 species